AGAGGGGGCAAGCGUUGUUCGGAAUUACUGGGCGUAAAGGGCGCGUAGGCGGCCUGUUAAGUCGAACGUGAAAUCCCUAGGCUCAACCUAGGAACUGCGUCCGGUACUGGCAGGCUUGAAUCCGGGAGAGGGAUGCGGAAUUCCAGGUGUAGCGGUGAAAUGCGUAGAUAUCUGGAGGAACACCGGUGGCGAAGGCGGCAUCCUGGACCGGCAUUGACGCUGAGGCGCGAAAGCCAGGGGAGCAAACGGGAUUAGAUACCCCGGUAGUCCUGGCCCUAAACGAUGAAUGCUUGGUGUGGCGGGUAUCGAUCCCUGCCGUGCCGAAGCUAACGCAUUAAGCAUUCCGCCUGGGGAGUACGGUCGCAAGGCUG
rnacentral:rRNA from 1 species